UACGAAGGGGGCUAGCGUUGCUCGGAAUCACUGGGCGUAAAGGGUGCGUAGGCGGGUUUUUAAGUCAGGGGUGAAAUCCUGGAGCUCAACUCCAGAACUGCCUUUGAUACUGAAGAUCUUGAGUCCGGGAGAGGUGAGUGGAACUGCGAGUGUAGAGGUGAAAUUCGUAGAUAUUCGCAAGAACACCAGUGGCGAAGGCGGCUCACUGGCCCGGUACUGACGCUGAGGCACGAAAGCGUGGGGGAGCAAACAGGG
rnacentral:rRNA from 1 species